rnacentral:rRNA from 1 species
UACGUAGGGACCGAGCGUUGUCCGGAAUCAUUGGGCGUAAAGAGCUCGUAGGCGGCUUGUCGCGUCGGCUGUGAAAUCCCGUGGCUCAACUGCGGGUCUGCAGCCGAUACGGGCAGGCUAGAGUUCGGUAGGGGAGACUGGAAUUCCUGGUGUAGCGGUGAAAUGCGCAGAUAUCAGGAGGAACACCGGUGGCGAAGGCGGGUCUCUGGGCCGAUACUGACGCUGAGGAGCGAAAGCGUGGGGAGCGAACAGG